rnacentral:rRNA from 1 species
AUUGAACGCUGGCGGCAUGCCUAACACAUGCAAGUCGAGCGGAUGAAGGGAGCUUGCUCCUGGAUUCAGCGGCGGACGGGUGAGUAAUGCCUAGGAAUCUGCCUGGUAGUGGGGGAUAACGUCCGGAAACGGGCGCUAAUACCGCAUACGUCCUGAGGGAGAAAGUGGGGGAUCUUCGGACCUCACGCUAUCAGAUGAGCCUAGGUCGGAUUAGCUAGUUGGUGGGGUAAAGGCCUACCAAGGCGACGAUCCGUAACUGGUCUGAGAGGAUGAUCCGUCACACUGGAACUGGGACGCGGUCCUGACUCCUACGGGCGGCCGCGGUGGCGACUAUUGGACGCUGGGCGGAAGCCUGAUCCAGCCGUGCCGCGCGUGUGCAGCAGGGCUGCGUAUUGUAAAGCACUUUAAGUUGUGAGGAAGGGCAGUAAGUUAAUCCCUUGCUGUUUUGACGUUACCUACAGAAUAAGCACCGGCUAACUUCGUG